AUUGAACGCUGGCGGAAUGCUUUACACAUGCAAGUCGAACGGUAGAGGGGGCAACCCCUUGAGAGUGGCGAACGGGUGAGUAAUAUAUCGGAACGUGCCCAGUCGCGGGGGAUAACGUAGCGAAAGUUACGCUAAUACCGCAUACGAUCUAAGGAUGAAAGCGGGGGACCGUAAGGCCUCGCGCGAUUGGAGCGGCCGAUAUCAGAUUAGGUAGUUGGUGGGGUAAAGGCUCACCAAGCCAACGAUCUGUAGCUGGUCUGAGAGGACGACCAGCCACACUGGAACUGAGACACGGUCCAGACUCCUACGGGAGGCAGCAGUGGGGAAUUUUGGACAAUGGACGCAAGUCUGAUCCAGCCAUUCCGCGUGCAGGAUGAAGGCCCUCGGGUUGUAAACUGCUUUUGUACGGAACGAAAAGGUCUCUCUUAAUACGGGGGGCUCAUGACGGUACCGUAAGAAUAAGCACCGGCUAACUACGUG
rnacentral:rRNA from 1 species